AGGACUAACGCUGGCGGCGUGCCUAACACAUGCAAGUCGAACGAGGGGUAGCAAUACCCCUAGUGGCAGACGGGUGAGUAACACGUAGUCAACCUACCUCUUAAUGGGGGAUAACUAGCCGAAAGGUUAGCUAAUACCGCAUACGAUCGUCGAGUGGCAUCACACGACGAUGAAAGGAGCAAUCCGUUGAGAGAGGGGACUGCGUCCCAUUAGUUAGUUGGUGGGGUAAUGGCCUACCAAGACUCCGAUGGGUAGCUGGCUUGAGAGAGCGACCAGCCACACUGGAACUGAGACACGGUCCAGACUCCUACGGGAGGCAGCAGUGAGGAAUUUUCCGCAAUGGGGGAAACCCUGACGGAGCGACGCCGCGUGUGGGAAGAAGGCCUUCGGUCGGUAAACCACUGUCGAGGGGACGAGUAUUGACGGUACCCCUGGAGGAAGCCCGGCUAACUACGUGCCAGCAGCCGC
rnacentral:rRNA from 1 species